UUGUUAAGAGGGCAUUUCAGAAGGAUCUACUAAAGCAUAAAUAAAAUUUAUUCAAUCCAGAGAAUUCUCAUUUCCUUUUUGAGAAGAAUUAGGAAGAAGAAAAAGUGUCAUUCAUUUUUUAUCAAGGGGAGAAAAAGCCAUUUUCCAACAAAUUCCAAACAAUUCUAGAUCUGAGAAAAAGAAGAUACCUUUUGAUCCUUGGAAUCAAAGAGAGACAUCUCAGCAAAGCAGCAGGAAUAGAGGAAGAGUUUGGAUGUAGAUCUGAAUCCUGGUUUAUGAACUUUUUCCACCUAGAUCUCAAGAACAUCAUCUGAAUCUCACCUGCAGAUCUGUACUAAAGGAUGAGCCAGAGACAGAAUCACUGGGAUCUGCUCUUUGAACUGGGCUCUGCAGAAAGAAAGUUGCAGAUAUUGAACUUCAAAGCAAGAGAUAACUGAGAGAAAUAAAUGUUCCAAAUGGUGGAGUGUAUUCUGUAAGCACUUGGGAGACCAGCCUUAGUGAGAGACUGGAACAGAAACUGCACUGAAGUGAAAUAAUUGCUCAAGGGGUUGAUGUAUUUUCUGCAGGCACUCAUACGUCACCAGAGUUCUCUGGAAAUGGUUUGAAUUGCUUGUCUUCCAGACAUUUGGCAGAAAUCACAUGGAGAUGUGGGGGUGUUACAUCUGUUCAUGGCUAAGGAUGGCCUUCAGAAGAAGAUUUUUACUUGCCUUCUCAAAUCAUUUGGAGUUACAUCUGCUUCUUUGCAAGGAUGUUUCUCAUCUGGUGGAAGAAUUCAUACUGAAGCAAGAGACAGAAGCCUGGAAUCUUUAUUUGAUAUCAAAAAGUAAUGCUGGAAAAACUGCACUGAGGAAAGAGUCUUCAGAGACAUUUGAAACACUCAUGUUCAUCUGCUCCUGAGAAGAACCAAAUGUUCGGGACGACUCCAAGCCACUCCUGUGCUGUUCCCACCUCGGCAGGGAAAUCACAGGGGGAGCACUGACAGAGGGAUCCCAGCUCUCCUUCGCUUGUGCUGCUGCUCAGAACUCCUCCUGGGCCUCAUCUGCAGACAGUGCUGCACUAAAGGCAUCUCCAGUGCAAAUGGCUUGUCCUUCACCCUUCUGCAGAGCGGCUGUGUGACCCUGGGUGUACUGGCAGUGACAGCAAAGCAUGUUCUGCUCAGCACUGGCUCUGUGGUUGAAGGCCAGGCUACUCUGCCUCCUCCAGAGCAGCCCUGUGACCACACACACUGCCCAUGAACCCUUCGCACACAGAGGAAGUUUAUAAAAUCACUCGUAUUGCGACUCAUUGGAUUUGUAAAAUCACUCACAUUGUAACUCAUUAGUUUACCCAUCUUAAUGCCAGUAAAUAAUCUAAGUUUAUAGGUUUAAGGUUUUUUUAAACUAAAGCUAGUUUAUAAGUUAAAGCUUAGAAGUAUAUAAGUUCAUAAUAUUUUUAAUUAAUAGAAAUGUAAAAGUCAUUUGAAGGGAGAUAUUAGAGGAUGGACCAGGUUAUGCUCUGUGGUCCCCAGAAAUGAGACAAAAGGCAGGGCCUGAGCCCAGGAGCUGCCCCUGCCCAUGCCCAGAGCUCCUGC